AUAUUUUUUUGCUUGAAAUUUUUUAAAAUGUUUAUGGGGAGUAAUACGCUUUCGUUUCCUAGGGUAUCUAGUUUAACUUGUGUUUGUAAAUGGGAAACCUUUUUAAUUUUUUCUAUUUUAACUGAUUAUGUUUUUUUUUAAUAGUAAAUGGUUGUGUAAUAACUUAAUUUGUAAUAAAGAAAAGUCUAUUUUUUUGGUGACUUGAUUAAUUGAUUAAUGGAUUAGUAGAUUGAAUUUUAUUAGAUUUUAUUUUACUUAUAUUAAGAGAUUUGAGUUAUUUCUACUUACUGAUUUUUUCUUAGACUGGUUAAUAAAAUCUUAGCCACAAAAUUUGUGGUUAUUUCUGCUCUAUGCAAAAAAGUAAAUGGCUGUUUAGACACUAAGGUAGCAAAAUCAUUAGUUAUUUAAUUGGUAACUUGUAUGAAUGAAUUUUCUAAGAAAGAUAUUAAUUUUUUUUUUGAAUUUAUAAAUUUGUUGAAAAUAACAAUUUUACCUAUAAGACUAAAAGACCCUAAAAUUUUUAUAACUAAUAGAAUUAAAAGUUAUUUGGUUGGGGCAAUAAUAAAAAGUUAAUAUUAAGUAAUUUAUUUUUUCUUGAACUUUUAGUAUUGAUAAAAUGAAAAAUACUUUAGGGAUAACAGCUUAAUUAUUUUUAAGAGUUCUUAUUAUUAAAAUAGUUUUAGACCUCGAUGUUGGAUUGGGAAAACUUUUUGGGGCAG
rnacentral:rRNA from 1 species